GUCGAACGAAGCACUUUUACAGAUUUCUUCGGAAUGAAGUUUUGGUGACUGAGUGGCGGACGGGUGAGUAACGCGUGGGUAACCUGCCUCACACAGGGGGAUAACAGUUGGAAACGGCUGCUAAUACCGCAUAAGCGCACAGUACCGCAUGGUACAGUGUGAAAAACUCCGGUGGUGUGAGAUGGACCCGCGUCUGAUUAGCUAGUUGGCAGGGCAGCGGCCUACCAAGGCGACGAUCAGUAGCCGACCUGAGAGGGUGACCGGCCACAUUGGGACUGAGACACGGCCCAAACUCCUACGGGAGGCAGCAGUGGGGAAUAUUGCACAAUGGGGGAAACCCUGAUGCAGCGACGCCGCGUGAGCGAAGAAGUAUUUCGGUAUGUAAAGCUCUAUCAGCAGGGAAGAAGAAAUGACGGUACCUGACUAAGAAGCACCGGCUAAAUACGUGCCAGCAGCCGCGGUAAUACGUAUGGUGCAAGCGUUAUCCGGAUUUACUGGGUGUAAAGGGAGCGCAGGCGGAAGGCUAAGUCUGAUGUGAAAGCCCGGGGCUCAACCCCGGUACUGCAUUGGAAACUGGUCAUCUAGAGUGUCGGAGGGGUAAGUGGAAUUCCUAGUGUAGCGGUGAAAUGCGUAGAUAUUAGGAGGAACACCAGUGGCGAAGGCGGCUUACUGGACGAU
rnacentral:rRNA from 1 species